rnacentral:rRNA from 1 species
UAGCUAGUUGGUGAGGUAACGGCUUACCAAGGCGACGAUCUGUAGCGGGUCUGGGAGGAUUAUCCGCCACACUGGAACUGAGACACGGUCCAGACUCCUACGGGAGGCAGCAGUGGGGAAUUUUGGACAAUGGGGGCAACCCUGAUCCAGCCAUGCCGCGUGAGUGAAGAAGGCCUUCGGGUUGUAAAGCUCUUUCGGCCGGGAAGAAAUCGCAUGGGCCAAUACCCUGUGUGGAUGACGGUACCGGAAUAAGAAGCACCGGCUAACUACGUGCCAGCAGCCGCGGUAAUACGUAGGGUGCGAGCGUUAAUCGGAAUUACUGGGCGUAAAGCGUGCGCAGGCGGUUUUGUAAGACAGGCGUGAAAUCCCCGGGCUCAACCUGGGAACUGCGUUUGUGACUGCAAGGCUAGAGUACGGCAGAGGGGGGUGGAAUUCCACGUGUAGCAGUGAAAUGCGUAGAGAUGUGGAGGAACACCAAUGGCGAAGGCAGCCCCCUGGGUCGAUACUGACGCUCAUGCACGAAAGCGUGGGUAGCAAACAGGAUUAGAUACCCUGGUAGUCCACGCCCUAAACUAUGUCAACUAGGUGUUGGGUGGGUAAAACCAUUUAGUACCGUAGCUAACGCGUGAAGCUGACCGCCUGGGGAGUACGGCCGCAAGGUUAAAACUCAGAGGAAUUGACGGGGACCCGCACAAGCGGUGGAUGAUGUGGAUUAAUUCGAUGCAACGCGAAAAACCUUACCUACCCUUGACAUGCCAGGAACUUGCCAGAGAUGGCUUGGUGCCCGAAAGGGAGCCUGGACACAGGUGCUGCAUGGCUGUCGUCAGCUCGUGUCGUGAGAUGUUGGGUUAAGUCCCGCAACGAGCGCAACCCUUGUCGUUAAUUGCCAUCAUUUAGUUGGGCACUUUAGCGAGACUGCCGGUGACAAACCGGAGGAAGGUGGGGAUGACGUCGAGUCCUCAUGGCCCUUAUGGGUAGGGCUUCACACGUCAUACAAUGGUCGGUACAAAGGGUCGCCAAGCCGCGAGGUGGAGCCAAUCCCAGAAAGCCGAUCGUAGUCCGGAUUGCAGGCUGCAACUCGCCUGCAUGAAGUCGGAAUCGCUAGUAAUCGUGGAUCAGCAUGUCACGGUGAAUACGUUCCCGGGUCUUGUACACACCGCCCGUCACACCAUGGGAGCGGGUUCCGCCAGAAGUAGGCAGCCUAACCGCAAGGAGGGCGCUUACCACGGCGGGGUUCGUGACUGGGGUGACGUCGUAACAAGGUAGCCGUAGGGAACCUGCGGCUG